AACGAACGCUGGCGGCAGGCUUAACACAUGCAAGUCGAACGCACCUUUCGGGGUGAGUGGCAGACGGGUGAGUAACGCGGGGGAAUCUACCCUUCUCUACGGGAGAGCUCCGGGAAACUGGAAUUAAUACCGUAUACGUCCUGAGGGAGAAAGAUUUAUCGGGGAAGGAUGAGCCCGCGUUGGAUUAGCUAGUUGGUGGGGUAAAGGCCUACCAAGGCGACGAUCCAUAGCUGGUCUAAGAGGAUGAUCAGCCACAUUGGGACUGAGACACGGCCCAAACUCCUACGGGAGGCAGCAGUGGGGAAUAUUGGACAAUGGGCGCAAGCCUGAUCCAGCCAUGCCGCGUGAGUGAUGAAGGCCCUAGGGUUGUAAAGCUCUUUCAGUGGGGACGAUAAUGACGGUACCCACAGAAGAAGCCCCGGCUAACUUCGUG
rnacentral:rRNA from 1 species